AACAGGCUUCACGCUCUGAGCUGUCAGUACAGAGCCUGACAUGGGGCUCGAACUCACGGACCGCGAGAUCAUGACCUGAGCUGAAGUCGGCCACUCAACCGACUGAGCCACCCAGGCGCCCCACCGAUAUUGGUCUUCUUGAUGGCAUCCCGCCUUUCUUAAGCACAGACCCAGUGAAGCCAUUUUCUCUGCCAGAAGGCUCCAGUGGGUCUUGGACCACGGGACAAAGAAUGACAAAUGCUCAGCAUGUGGGUGGCCGCUCCCACUCCUGGCUUGCAGGGCACACUUGUUCAAUAAAGCUGCUUUCAGCAGGGGAAACUUUCCAGCGUGGCUCUCCAGGUAGCCAAUACUUAGGCUGCUUUUCAUUUCUAAGAAAAGAAAUCAAUUCUAAAGAUAGACAACGAUGAGCAACUACUUAUCUGUGCGAUGGAGAUCAUGGCAGGUGGAUGUUCAAAUGAUUUUCAUGCUACCAUUGUUCACUGGGAGACAGUGCUGUGUGUCAGGACCAGGCUGAAAGCCGGGGAAGAGGCAGAGGGGCCAGAAGUGAGUAGAGUCGAAAAGAACUGGUGAACAAAACCUGAACUGGCUUCCAGCGGCUCCCUGCAGAGGCGCCCUGCACAAAUGCCAAAAAGCAGAGUGGAGUCCGACUGGAAGAUGGCUCAAGAGUUCCAUGGUUUUCUUCCAUCAGGGAAACGGCAAUAAAACUGGAAGCCAUGGGCCAGAAGGCCCUGCAAAAUGUCUGGGGAGAAGCAGAUAAUGAGGGGAACUUGACUUGCACAUAUUAAUUCAAUCAGCAGAAACUGGAGGUUUUAGUCCAGGGUUCCAGACCUACCGGAAAGAGCAAUCUCUGUGAGCAGCUAUUUCCUAGCAUUGAAGAAUUUACGUGGAAAGUCAAGAGCGUCUCAUUUCCUGGAACUAAAGUAAGUACGUCCCCUACUAGGUUCCUGCUCACACAGUCUCAGAAGACCCUCUCCCGAAAUCCCACCAGACCUUCUCCCAGGAUGACCUAAAUGCAGACAGUCAGCUGGUACUCCAGGUUCCAAUCAGGGAAAACAACCAUACAACCUUCUACGGUAGCUUCUAGAAGGCAGCCAGUCUUCUUAUGAGCUUCUCUUUCACAACGCCUAGAACCCAGCUCUCGUGGCGAGCGUGAGUGUCGGUGAAGAGGGCCGGCAGCCGGGGAGGAAGGCGGGCUGGUGACAGCAUUCUUCACCCGUGUGGUCAGAGUUCUUCCUGAUCUGUGCAAUCGCUUCUUGAUGUUCCAGACGCAGGCCAGGAAGGCAAAAAGGAAGUGCAAGACACCAUCGCACCUAGAUUCCAGAAAGCUUUCGCUCCGUUUGGGUCAACUUGAGAGGAUGCGCUAAUAAACAGGGUUUCCAGAGAUCCUGGGAAGCAGCCCGGAGACCGGAGCCGGGGCACCUGGCGGGAGCUUCAGCGCGCCUUCCUCCCUGGAACAGCGCUGUCACUUGGCACCGUUGUCCUGGCAAGUCAGCCCCGUUCACAGUCCCUCUGAUUGGUCAGCCCUGCCCUUCCAGAUCCGCCUUUCUGACAUCUUGCCUCCACGGCGCUGCCUUGCCGGAGGAGGGGUUCUCACCUGGGCCGUCACAGGGUCCAGCCUUCAAUCAGGAUGCUCCCCAGGUAUUUCCAAAUCACCAGGAGGAACGUGGGCUGUGCUCCAGGCUGAUUCCUCCCACCCUCCCUCCCGUUCUUUCCUCUCUCCCUUCCUGUCUUCCUUCCUUUCCGCUGUCCUUUCUACCUUCCUGCCCCUUAUUUAUUGACUUCCUGCUGUAUGCGGGGCACUAAGAGUUUGUUAAUUACCUGGGGGUUACGCUGAGCUCUUAGAUUUGAAGAUGAGGGAAACAAUGUUGAAAGCACCUAAAGGAGAAGAAAAUUUAUGGGGUGUGCGUUGCAUAAAUGCCCUUCGCUAACCAGAAAGAUUGUGAAAUGAUUUGGACUUGAAUAAGUCGACUAAGAGGGCAGAGGGGCAAACGGCAAAGCUCGGAGACAGUAGGUGCAGAAAGAGUGAUAGCGCAAAAAUAAAUCCGCAGUGCAUAUCAAAUGAAUUUGUGCAGUGCUCCUCCUGUUCAUCCCGACCUGGGCCGGCGGCAAGGGGAACAGAGAGAAAAGUGGAAAAGAUGCUCUGGGGAGGCGUCUUGCUUCGGAGCUGCUGACCGAUACACUACGCGUGGAUUCCCCGGGGAUUUCCAGGCGGGUGGCUGUGGAACAGGCAGAGGUUUAGUGGUUUCCCAGGAAGGAAUAAAUUUCCUGCAGUGAAUCACCCUGUGUCAAGGAGGAUUUUUGUGACAUCAGCUCCAAGCAGAUCAUCGAGGCUUUCCCAUUCAAGAGGGCAUUGGAGCAUAACACCACCAUGGCCCACACUUUUUUUUUUUCUUUCUUGUAUUUUCCAAAGGGCCAUUUGGACCAAAAGUGGCCUGUGGCCCCUGGAAACUCUGAGUAACGGCUUGGCAUCUUAGCAAUCUGUGUGUCGUGCUUUGUGGAAGAGUCUGGAAAGGUCUAGUUCUGUCUGGAAAACAAAACUCACGGUUGUUAACGUGAAAGUGUAACCCUGCUUCUUCCUUUUCUUCUAAUAAAUGCUGCAAACUUGAAAUAAAAUGAAUUAGACCCCUUGGA